GAAAAGCCUGUGGUGGGGGAAGGGAGUGAAGGCAUGUGCCUCCUCAUGGAACACAGGGUCGGAGUCGGCUAGGAGGGAUAAGAGUACAAUAGAGGGUUGUGUGACACAGACAGGCUGCCAGCCCUCAGCAUGGACCCGGCACAUGGAAUCUGUGAUCUUAAAAGAGUCAAGUGACUACCUUUGGCAACCAAAAGAGACACUGCCUUUUAGAAGGCAUAUCAUCUGAAACUGGCUGAAAGAGCUGUCUUACUUAGGAAGAAAAAUCUCUCCUUUGGAAAGAGCUGGAACUUUUAGUAAAACUGAACAGUGAGGUGGCGGAAGAUAAAUAUGCUGAGGCAUGUUUUCAAGGAGGGGAGAGAGAUUCCUUUUCCUCAGCCGGGCACAGAGCUGACCUGAAGUGUAGCACUGUGGUGACCUGGCGGGAUCUGCUCUCCAGUCACUCCCGAGGGCCCUUCUGGGGACAAGGAGACUUUU
rnacentral:lncRNA from 1 species